rnacentral:rRNA from 1 species
UACGGGGGGGACUAACGUUAUUCAUCAUAACUGGGUGUAAAGGGUACGUAGGCGGCUCUUUAAGUCUUUAUUAAAAAAUCUAUGCAUAACUUAGAAAUUAAUUUUGAUACUGAGGAGCUUGGAGGUCAAUGUAGGUUAGUUAUAUUCUUGGGGUAAAAGUAAAAUCUUGAGAUAUCAAGAGGAUAACCGCGUGGUUAAUGCGACUUUCUAAAUUGAUGCUGACGCUGAGGUACGAAGGCAUGGGCAUCAAACGGG